UUCUCACUCUUGCUCUGCCUCUCUUUCUCUAUCUCUGUGGCUAGCUCGUGCUCUCUCAGUGGCUCGCUCACCCCUCAGUCAAUCUCUCUUCCUCCCUUGUCUUGCUGGGAAGGCAACAAAUCAAUAUUAUGGAAAUGAUUUGAGACAUACCUUUUCAGACAAAGCAUCUUGCGAAAGGCCUAUGAGGGCUUAGGCAAAUCCAUCAUAGCAAACUACACAUGCAAACUCCAAAUGACUUGGGGGCUUCAUGCCAAGCAAAAGAGCGAGACAAGAAUCCAGAAGUUGCUGUAAAUUUCAAUUUUCCUCUUGGAGGAAAGCAAACUAUUUGUUACUUAUCUGGAGGAAAACAGGCUGUGUGUAUCUCUUCCAGCAACUCGCUUCGCCUAAUCCUUCUUAUCUUUAGUUUGCUUCUUCCAAAGAUCUUCUUUGAAGCAAGUUGCAGGAGGAAAAAAAAAAUACAAGCAGGCCUCUACUCUGUUUCUCGACCCUGAGUAAGCCAAAGAGAACAUAACCCAACUCUGCAACCAAUUGCUGACCCCAACAAGCUGACUUGGGGGCUUUAUGCCAAGCAAAUUCAAAGAAGGACACCAUGCCAUCCAAACAAGCAAACCCAUCCACCCUUUUGCCAUACAAUAUAAAUCAUCUCUUUGAUUACAACAAGCCUAGACAAUCAUGCAUUAUGAUGACAAACAGUUUUCUAUUUCCCCUUUUUGAAAUAAGCCAAGUACUGCCAACUCAACAAGCCAUCUACCUCUGAGUUUCCACUAGAAAUCAGCACACCUAGCCUUUGUCAAAAAUCAAUUUUGCAAUUCACUGCCAAACACUAUGCCUUUUUGAGACCACAACCUCUUGGGGGGCUUACCCAUGUUAAAACAUGGUGCCAUUCAGACUCAUGCAACAUGCCGAGAAGGAAAUUACAACAUGCCAAGCAAAUCAAUCAAGCCAAAUUUACAUGAAGAGAAUCAAAAACUUGAAUAGAAGAAGGUUGAGCUCAACAUUCACAUACUGGGGGCUUCAGCCAACAUGCAAGCCGCUGACCACCGUUGUCACCUCCCCACCAUGAAACAUCAUCAGCAAAUCUGGCCAUCGCCGUAAAUCACCUUCGUGGCAGGUCUCACCUCUCUAGAGCUGUGCAAGCACGAUGAGAAAGGGAGGAGGAACACUUGCUCAAUACUCUAAGCCUCAUCUCUGCGAAUUGCUUUAGCAAGAUAAGAUUUUUUAUCUUGCCUCAUUGAU